AGAAGAAGAAGAAACAAUAGAGAGAAGGGUCAAAUACAACAGCGUCAUCACCAUCAUCAUCAUCGUCGUCAACAACAAGAACGACGACAACAACAGCAAUACCAUCAACAACAGUAGUAACACCAUCAUCAUCGGCAGCAGCAACAGUACAGCAGCAGCAAUAAGAGAGGCAUUAAAAGCAGUAACACCAGCGUCAGUUGUAACAGCAUCGAUAAAAUCCCAAUCAAAAACAUCAACACAACCAUAACCGCCAACACCAGCGCCCCCACCAUCGAUAUAUAUUCAUCAUUAUCGUAAUCGUCCUCGUCGUCGUCAUCAUCAUCACGAUCAUCGUCGCCGUCGUCGCCAUCAUCAUCAUCAUCAUCAUCACCAUCACAUUCAUCAUUGUCAUCAUCAUGCAUCACUCUCACCCGCAGCUGCCAAACGAUCAUCCGUAGCAGCAACGAGGAAUACGCAACCAGAACAACAUAAACAACAGCAGCGGUAGCAGCAGUAGCAGCGGCAGCAGCAACGCCAACAAGAAAAAAUAAAACACCAACACAACAACAACAACAACAGUGACAACAACAAUAACACCGCUAGAAGUAUAAUAAUCAGAAACGAAAAAAAGGAAAAACAGAAAAGAAAUAGAAAACAGCUACAAUAACGGCAGAGGCAACGUUAACCGCAUCAUCAGCAUCAAUUGUUGAUUUCAGUACAGCUUCAGCUAUGACCGAAACUCCGUUCCGAAGCAAGCUGAUGUCUCUUAAGGAGGACUUAAAGAGUCACAGUUUUUGGAAGGCUAUCCGCUGUGAAUUCCUUACUACUUUGCUUUAUACUUUCAUCGGAUGUGGUUCUUGGACGUUAUGGAGACAAGAAGAGAAACGACAGAUCAUGGAUGAGAGACGGCUCAUCGAAUACGAAUUGAAAAUAGCACUCACUUUCGGACUGGCCACCGCCACGUUGGUCCAGUGUGUGGGACAUAUCAGCGGUGCUCACCUGAAUCCGGCCGUUACUAUAGCAAUGCUAGUCACGCGAAACGUCAAUGUGUUAAGGGCAAUUUUUUAUAUCACAGCACAAUACGCCGGUGCCAUUACAGGCGCUGGUAUUUUAUACGGAUUAACCCCACAUGAGGCGCACGGCCAACUAGGGGUUACAACGGUUCAUGCCGAAACACAAAGGUCAAGCUUUUGGUAUAGAAUUUAUGAUAACGUUUAUUAUGGUAUUUACGUUUUUUUUGCUAACCUUGACCCCAAACGUUCAGAUAUGGGCUCACGAUCACUUUCUAUCUACUCUUGGACAAUUAUUUGCCGUAAGUCUGCCUAUACAUUAUUAAUCUUCUUUCCGGAUUAUCUGUUACACUUGGACAAUUAUUUGCUAUCAUUAAAUUGGAAUGUCAAGUGAACAAAACCGAGUAUUUUCGAUACCAUUUGCUUUUUGCAUUUAAUCGAGGUGUUAAGGCCACAGAAGCUGCUCGUGUGAUUUGAGCUGUCUAUGGAGAAGGAGCUGUGCUUCAAUAUGCCGCCUGCCUUUGUUUUUCGCACUUCAAAAAUAGGAGUUUUCACCUCAAAGAAUUAUCACACACCAGUUAACCAACUGAGUUCGAUGAAGUGCGAUUGAAUCAACUUCACGAAAAUGCGCGUAAAACGAUCGGAGAAUUAGAAGUGUAGAUGGAUUGAGAUAAAAAGACUGUGAUGAACCAUCUUCACUCAGUCGGUAAGGUUCAGAAACUUGGCGCUUGGAUACCACACACUUUGAGCGAAAAUAACUAAAAUCAACGCUCCACAAUCACCAACAGUUUGCUCGCCCGAUAUCGCUCAACACAUAGUCACAAACAACUCCAAGAGCAAAACAAGACCUUCACCCACUAAAGAGUAUGUUGUGUGUAUGGUGGGUCUGGGAAGGAGGCAUAAUAAAUUACGAACUGCUUGAGCGCAACCAAACACUCAAUGCAGAGCUCUACAUUCAACAACUACACCGGCUCAACAAAGUAAUUCAGCAAAAACGACCGAAUAGGUGAAAUGGCGUUCUUCUGCAAGACGACAACGUUUGAAAAACGCUCAUGAAUUAUUUCUCAACACAAUAUAUUUACUCUGAUGCCUCACAUCCUGGAUGAUUCAUUUUGAAGACACUUCUACCGCUCUUGAGAAGGAUAAUGAUAAAUACGACCACGGAUAUUCUAUUCAAGUGAAAUUAUUUUUACACGGUUCACACAUGUUCCAAAUCAAUUCCAUUAUUUGCGACUCUGACA
rnacentral:misc_RNA from 1 species